rnacentral:lncRNA from 10 species
CGCCUCCCAGGCUCAAGCAAUUCUCCUGCCUCAGCCUACCAAGUAGCUGAACUACAGGUGCACACCACCUCACCCGGCUACUUUUUUUUUUUUUUUUGUAUUUUCAGUAGAGACAAGUUUCACCAUGCUGGCCAGGCUGGUCUCAAACUCCUGGCUCUGCAGACAGGAGGACUGAAAUCCAUGGUGGCAGACGCCUAUAAUCCCAGAACUUUGGGAGACCAAGGCAGACGGAUUACUUGAGGUAGGAGUUCAAGGCCAGCCUGGCCAACAUGCUGAAAUACAGUCUCUACUAAAAAUACAAAAAUUAGCCGGGAGUGGUGGUAGGUUGAGACAGGAGAAUCGCUUGAAUCCGGGAGGCAGAGGUUGCAUUCAGCCGAGGUCAUGCCACUGCACUCCAGCCUGGGCAACAGAGCAACACUCUAGAACAAAACAUUGACAGAAUUUGUUUCUGGUUUGGAUACAGGGGAUUGGAGAGAAGAGUGUGCCAAUAAUUGGUUUGUUCAUCAAUUCAAUGAAGAUUUAUUGAGCAUCUGUUGUGGACAGCCCUAUUCUAGGUUCUGGGGAGACAGCCAUGAAUGAGACAGUGAUGGCUGCUUUUGGAGAGCUGACCUUCUAGUGGGAGACAGGCCACAGAAAAACAAAGCACAUGGAACAUAAUGUCAGGGAUGACGAUGCUGUGAAGGAAUGGAGCAGGUGCUAAGAACCUACUGGAACGGGCAUGCUUAAGAGGUGCUGGAGAGGGUCAACUCUUGGGUGACUGCUUCGAGCAAUGGGAGGGUGGGGAGCAGGGGUGUUGUACACACUGCGACAGGGCCAGGUUUGCAAAAGAAAUCAAGACAUGGCCACACAAACACUUCUGUGUGACUGUUCACAGCAGCAUUAUUCACAAUAGCCAAAAGGUAGAAAUAACCCAAAUGCCCAUGAACAGACGAAUGAGUUCUUUUGUUUAUUUGUUUUGUUUUGUUUUUGUUUUUGAGACAGUCUUACUCUGCUGCCCAGACUGGAGUGCAAUGGCGCAAUCUUGGCUCACUGCAACCUCCACCUCCUGGGUUCAAGCCAUUCUCCUUCCUCAGCCUCCGGAGUAGCUGGGACUACAGGCGCCCACCAC